UACGUAGGGUGCAAGCGUUGUCCGGAAUUAUUGGGCGUAAAGGGCUCGUAGGCGGUCUGUCACGUCGGGAGUGAAAACUCGGGGCUUAACCCCGAGCCUGCUUCCGAUACGGGCAGACUAGAGGUAUGCAGGGGAGAAUGGAAUUCCUGGUGUAGCGGUGAAAUGCGCAGAUAUCAGGAGGAACACCGGUGGCGAAGGCGGCUCUCUGGGCAUUACCUGACGCUGAGGAGCGAAAGUGUGGGGAGCGAACAGG
rnacentral:rRNA from 1 species